CCCAUGAUCAAUUUUCUUAUAGAUUUUUUAUUUUUAGAGUUCCUUCUCCUCCUCCUCUCUUCCUCUUCCAGAUUUUCUAUCACUUUGGAGUGUCCAAGGUGCUUGUAGAAGAAGGAAGAGGUCAGCUAUUGAAGUUGUUCACAGACUAGCAUCUCCAAGCCCCUGAUCUGCAUCAGUCUUCACAUGAAUUUUUUUAUAGAGGCCAGAUG
rnacentral:lncRNA from 1 species